rnacentral:rRNA from 1 species
UUAAAUUGAAGAGUUUGAUCAUGGCUCAGAUUGAACGCUGGCGGCAGGCCUAACACAUGCAAGUCGAACGGUAACAGGAAACAGCUUGCUGUUUCGCUGACGAGUGGCGGACGGGUGAGUAAUGUCUGGGAAACUGCCUGAUGGAGGGGGAUAACUACUGGAAACGGUAGCUAAUACCGCAUAACGUCGCAAGACCAAAGAGGGGGACCUUCGGGCCUCUUGCCAUCGGAUGUGCCCAGAUGGGAUUAGCUAGUA